rnacentral:rRNA from 1 species
GAUGAACGCUGGCGGCGUGCCUAAUACAUGCAAGUCGAGCGAACAGACGAGGAGCUUGCUCCUCUGACGUUAGCGGCGGACGGGUGAGUAACACGUGGAUAACCUACCUAUAAGACUGGGAUAAAUUCGGGAAACCGGAGCUAAUACCGGAUAAUAUAUUGAACCGCAUGGUUCAAUAGUGAAAGAGGGUUUUGCUGUCACUUAUAGAUGGAUCCGCGCCGCAUUAGCUAGUUGGUAAGGUAACGGCUUACCAAGGCAACGAUGCGUAGCCGACCUGAGAGGGUGAUCGGCCACACUGGAACUGAGACACGGUCCAGACUCCUACGGGAGGCAGCAGUAGGGAAUCUUCCGCAAUGGGCGAAAGCCUGACGGAGCAACGCCGCGUGAGUGAUGAAGGUCUUCGGAUCGUAAAACUCUGUUAUUAGGGAAGAACAAAUGUGUAAGUAACUAUGCACGUCUUGACGGUACCUAAUCAGAAAGCCACGGCUAACUACGUG